UGUCGGAGGAAUGUAUUUCUGCACUGAGGAGUGACAAGGUUGGCAUCUCUAAAGCUGAAUACAUGGAUGGUGCUGUCCAAAAGUUACUACUGGAUAUUUUGUUUCAGAGGUUGAGAAAAGAGGGGGUACCACAGCCAGAAUUCAUAUCGACAUGGAGACAGAGAAUGGUACAAUGAAAGACAUUCAAAGAUGUUUGCGUCUUGAUGACAGCUAUCCUGAAAACUACUUCAUUGUGGGAUCCAGCACCCACAGCCAGCACAUCAACAGCCAGUACUGGAUGAACCUUUUUCAAAAACUGAAGAAUACAGAUUACUUUACUGGUGACUUCUUGGAUAAGCAGCCAAUUCUGCUCACCUGUUUAAAUAUCACUGAGGAAGAACUCUUAAAGUGGUUCACUUAUGGAACAUAAUUCGUAAGAUUAGAGAUACUAUUGCUCCAAGUUGCCGGUCCUACAUGAUGUAUACCG